rnacentral:lncRNA from 1 species
GUAUGUAAAAUCAUUUAUGUUUUCUGCACUCUAAAUAAUUUUGUGUUGGCACUGGUUGAUUGAUCAAAAUGUAUAUGGCUAAUGGCUUGAUUUUAUGUGUUCCUCAUGGAUAUCGACACCAGAAAAUGAGUGAAAGAGAACCAUCAAGUAUCUUUUACGUGACCUUCCCUCAUCAAGUAUCUUUUACGUGACCUUCCCUCUUUUGUUUGGCUGGAUCAGUUAUUUGUACAUAAUAGUUUUUUUUUCCCCUUUGGCUACACUCUCUCUCUCUCUCUCACACACACACACACAAAAAAAGAAGAAGCAAACACACACAUGGCGGGAAGCAUUUCAAUAUUAACAUCCAAAAGUAAGUUUAUAAGUUGGUAAUGAUGGUCACAUUCUCUCAGCCCUAUGAUUUUUUGUUACAUCAUUUCCUAUGUUAGCCUAUAGCUCCUUUAUAUGCCACCAUAAACAUUCCAUGAUCUCAUUCCUGGGGAACAAUUUGUAAGUUUGUGCCCCAAUUCUUUCUCACUCUUUUCCUCUCCUCUGCUUCAUACUCUUCUUCCUUUCUCCCUCUUCCUUUCCAACCACUUUAAAAUUCGAAGCUCUAAGUAGUUUUGAAGUGCUUCUAGUAAUUGUAAAAAAUGCUUCUUCUCAACACAUCCAUAUCCUUGAGAUCUUCCACUCCUUGCUUAUUGCUUGGGAUUUAUCUGCAAAAUUUUGCAAAGAUCUGAAAAUUCAUUGCUGUGGGAGAUGAACAUUUGGAAAUGCAUUUUCUAUACUGUUUACAAUGUGGAGCUACUCAAGGGAGAGGAUAUAGGUUCUGUACUUGGGAGAUAUGCAAGCAUGGAAUACUUUUUUCAAACAUUUUUUUAUUAAUAUCGUUGUAAUCCUAUUUGGGACUGUCAAUUUUUGUUGUGCAUUUAAUUUCUUGUUUCUUAGGCGAG